rnacentral:rRNA from 2 species
UGGGGAAUCUUCCGCAAUGGACGAAAGUCUGACGGAGCAACGCCGCGUGAGUGAAGAAGGUCUUCGGAUUGUAAAGCUCUGUUUUUUGGGGAGAACGGCCUUUGUGUGAAUAAUGCAGAGGAGUGACGGUACCAAAGGAGGAAGCCCCGGCUAACUACGUGCCAGCAGCCGCGGUAAUACGUAGGUGGCGAGCGUUGUCCGGAAUUAUUGGGCGUAAAGAGCGCGCAGGCGGUUUGUUAAGUCUACCGUGAAAGCUUACGGCUCAACCGUAACGGGUCGGUGGAUACUGGCAAACUUGAGGGCAGGAGAGGAAAGUGGAAUUCCCAGUGUAGCGGUGAAAUGCGUAGAGAUUGGGAGGAACACCAGUGGCGAAGGCGACUUUCUGGACUGUUACUGACGCUGAGGCGCGAAAGCUGGGGGAGUGAACGGG